GACGGAGGAUGCAAGCGUUAUCCGGAAUUAUUGGGCGUAAAGCGUCCGCAGGUGGCUGUUCAAGUCUGCUGUCAAAGCGCAGAGCUUAACUCUGUACAGGCGGUGGAAACUGAAGAGCUAGAGUAUGGUAGGGGUAGAGGGAAUUCCCGGUGUAGCGGUGAAAUGCGUAGAGAUCGGGAGGAACACCAGAGGCGAAGGCGGCGACCUGGACAAGUACUGACACUCAACUGCGAAAGCGUGGGGAGCAAACAGG
rnacentral:rRNA from 1 species